GGGCUCGGGGUUCAGACUGAAAAGGUUCCGUCCACGGUCACUUAGAGCCACGCACUUGAGCGGAACAUGCAUGACACAGCGGGCGUCUGUGGUGAUGAAUCUGGACACUAUGUUUAAGGAAGUCGUUGAAGUUAAAUGAGGUCACAAGGCAGAGGAAGACUCCUGCAGAGCACACGAACAGAAGGAAGGUCAUGUAAGGACAUUGUGAGAAAGCCUGUCUGCCAGCCAGGAAGAGACCCAUCAACAGACUCCAACCCUGCCCACCCCUUGACCUCAGACUUCCAGUCUCCAGAGCUCUGAGGCCCAAGUGUCAGCCGCUGGAGCCCCAGUCUGUGGGACCGCGUCAGCCGCCCUCCAGACGGAUGCAUUAUGUAACCUGCCGCUCCCAGGUCUGGGGAUAGUGACUUUGCUCCUCGGCUGGGCUGGCUCUGGAGCUGUCCUGGAGGCUGUUUCUGCAUCUCAUCACUGUAACACAGCACAGUGUGACAUGCAUGGGAGAGCCCCUCCCCAGCCUUGGCAAACAUAAAAGGCAGCGUGCUUGCAGCUCCCAAUGGGAAGCAGGCCAUCAAAAGGGCCGUAAUUUACAAGAUCGCUUCUAAAACCAUAAAUAAAACAAAAACAGAGUGUAGACGUGCAGCUCAAGAGCCAGAACACAUGCCUGACUUACGGGGGCCUGGAUGGAUAUUCUGUCUUCCCUUGUUUUGAUCCUUGGAGGUAACCGCUGAUACCAAAUCUGAAUCAUAAAAAUAUGAAACUUAAGCUGAAGUGUCCCCCCACCACCACCCCUUGAUAUCUGAAUAAAGCACCUGCUUACA